GACGAACGCUGGCGGCGUGCUUAACACAUGCAAGUCGAACGGAAAGGCCCUGCUUUUGUGGGGUGCUCGAGUGGCGAACGGGUGAGUAACACGUGAGUAACCUGCCCUUGACUUUGGGAUAACUUCAUGAAACUGGGGCUAAUACCGGAUAGGAGCUCCUGCUGCAUUGUGGGGGUUGGAAAGUUUCGGCGGUUGGGGAUGGACUCGCGGCUUAUCAGCUUGUUGGUGGGGUAGUGGCUUACCAAGGCUUUGACGGGUAGCCGGCCUGAGAGGGUGACCGGCCACAUUGGGACUGAGAUACGGCCCAGACUCCUACGGGAGGCAGCAGUGGGGAAUAUUGCACAAUGGGCGGAAGCCUGAUGCAGCAACGCCGCGUGCGGGAUGACGGCCUUCGGGUUGUAAACCGCUUUCGCCUGUGACGAAGCGUGAGUGACGGUAAUGGGUAAAGAAGCACCGGCUAACUACGUG
rnacentral:rRNA from 1 species